GAAGUUUUGAGAUGUUCAUUCUAUAUCCUGUAAUGAAGAAGAAUGAAGAUCUUCUUCCUAAACAGCAUGCAUGGAGGCUUGGAUUCUUGGUUCUUUGUUCUGCUCGGGCACUCGAAUUUUACCUGAUGGGAUCUUUAGUCCCUAUAAUUGAUAGCUGCAA